AGAUGCAGGUGGCUGUGAGCUGACAGAUCAGGAAGGUGGAUCGCCUAAAGCGAGGAGCAGCCAUUGCACUCCGGCUCUCUGACCUUUAUGAACUCUCCACAUGUGAAAAUCUCAACUGCAGAAUUUCUGGUAGUGGGGACUGCGUUCGCGCUCUCCCCGA
rnacentral:snRNA from 1 species